CUUCUGACUGCUAUGCCUCCUGAAUCGACCGCCCAGGCGAGCGUCGCCGUCGCCGUCGCCGAAACCCGCCGCGCGGGGACCAUGCGCGUACACGACACGGCAGCAUCGCGGCCACCGGGCUCCUCUACGGUCUGCAUGGAGCAUGGUGUGUGUAGCUUCAACUGCUCUGCUGAAACACAUAGCCCACUGACCACAGGAUAGGGGCUAAUCUCAAGUCAAAAGGGCGCCGCCCCGGGUCAGCUCGAAUGGUUCAGGCUAACAAAUCUGUCCUGCUCCAUCUCCAAUCAAGAGUUGGUUUGACUAACAAAUGAUUGUUUACUUGCUCGUUUGUUUCAUUUGCAUGCUCUUUAUUUAAUCUGCCCUCUGGUUUCGCGACAGAACAGAGAAAUCAGCUGAACCAUGGUGGUGGCUUUUUUUUUGGUGCCCAAAAGGAAGGAAGUGCACCUGGUUUGGUCGGUGGGAGCCAAGCCAAUUCAGGCGAACAUGUUGGGCCCAAUCUGCACGAUGUAUUGAACUGGGCCCAUAAAAAAUUCUAUCCUAAAGGAGAGAGAAUUGAGCCCAAAAACAACCGGUGAGUAUGAAGGACGAUGAACAGAAAUGGAAACAGAAAAGGUAAAUGAAAUAGUGAAAGAACUUUGCUUGA